CCGCGCGCGCGAACUCAACUGAUCGCAGUGCAUCGUAGCCCGCCGUCGGGCUGUGUAGUCCCGGAUGUCAAUAAACCAUUUACAGUAUUCUGAUUACGUUUCAUGUGAAGUGUUUUUGAAUUGCUUGCACUCGUAAUACCAAAUGUUCAACUCGUCAUUUUUUUUCUCCAAUUGUAUUUUGGUUUAAUCGGAAUCAAGGACUUACGUGCACGCAAAUGAUAUCGUCUCUUUUCCGUUAUGAAGGAACACCGAACCAAAGGACUUAGGGUCACAACUACUGAAAGCAUAAUUAG